ensembl:lncRNA
UGGGAGACAGGUUUCCUGAGAGCUGACCAGGAUUUUGAGUGUCUGUUCCGGGUCCCUGUUGUUUUUAAGUGUUCAAAGCCAUGGCCACAGGGCCCCUUCCAGCCCUGAGCCUGCUCAUCUUGCUAAGCUGGGAAGUUCCCCUCUUCUGGAAGGCCCAGAAGGCUGUUCCUCCUCCACCCCGUGCACUCCUCCCUCUUUCUAGAUCCAGAAUGGGGCCUCCAACACAUCUGACUUCCUUACAGCCAGUGUGCAGGCACCACAAACCAUCCCCAUCUUCCACAAUGCUCCACGUCCAUCCUGCCAGUGUGAAGACCUGAAGAUGCAGUAUGACCAGCUGGCUCAUAUUCCUGCCACCAUGCUGUCCCCACCAUGAGUCAAAGUAAACCCUCCCUCCUCAAGUUGCUCCUUAUGUAUGUCUUUGUGAUGUUUUUAUUCUUGAGAAUUUCACACAUGCAUAUAAUGAGAUAUGGUCAUAUCCCUCUGCAUGUCUUCCCCCACCAUGGGUGAGGAGUUACUCCCAGGACCAUGGGUGACUCAAAGGUUGCUGUAUCACUGAAAGGCCCACAGAAGCAUAGGUGACCCAAGAGAGCUGUUAUCCUUGGAGCUCCUUGGAGGACUUGCAGGCAGCUCCACUGACUCAAAAAGAUGCUUCUCUCCCCAGUGAUACAAGGCUUUUUGGUGGUGCGGGGGCGGACUUAUAAAUUCUGUAAGUUUCGAAAACUUUCAAGUUGUAUUCAUUUUCUGAGCCUGGUAAGAGUCCUUUAGCUCUUGAGUAUUAUAUGGUCCUUUCUCCUAGCAGGAAGGGAUAUUUCUCUUCUGAGAAAUAGCACAAGAGGUUUGCUUCUCUACCAAAAGUGAAGAGCCCUAUGGAGUCUUCUAUCCAUAGAGCUGGACCAGGAGCAGGACUAUGUGGCCCUGGUCUGUCAAACAAGUUUAAGCCAGUUUCUUGAAGGGCAUUUUAGCCCCAAGCACUUGGCGCUUAUUGUCUGAAGAAGCAGCUGUGCAUCCACCAGCAUGGGCCUUCUGUGGGCGGCUGUGGCUGCUGCCAGAGGGUCAGCUGAAUUCUGUUUAAUCUUUCUGCUCUGCUCUAUCCCAUGCCCUUGAUUCUGAACAAUGCAUCCUUGCUGCAGAUUCAGCUUUGGGGAGGCAAGGCCUUUUAGUCUGAUGCUCCUCCAGCUAAGAGGCGAGAGGGUGAGAACAUGUGAGGUGGAGUUUAUUUGAACUACAAAGCAGAUUAAGAUAGAAGUAAAAAGCAUGGGUCAGUUCUCCACAGUAAAGGGAGAACUCGGGUCCAGUUGUAGCAUUAUCAUCAUAGGGCAGGGGUGUGGAGGAGCAGAGGGAGGAGGGGUGUGGUGCAUUGAGUUGCCCGUCAUACCCCCUCUUACAGAAGGAAUUGGGGUGCAGUGAUUUGUCCACUGUCUGCUCUUUGCACCCCGACUUACUGAUUCUACGGAUCCACACUUGUGCUGAUGAGGCCUGCCUGAAGUUUUUAUUCUUAUUAGGAAGGCAAAACCAAACUCAGGAAGGCAGGAGAGAGGAGGAGAAAGGGAUAGAAGAUGUCAUGAUAUAAUAGAGUUUGCCAGCCAGGUGGGAACUCCAGAAAGGGAGGAAGGCACGGCCUUCCCAGGGCAGAGGAUGGCAGGACUACCCUCUUCAGCAGGGACCUAACUGUCCAUCUGUUUCUAAUGCUCGCUGUAUCCCCGUAAGACUCACUGUAAGAUGGUGGAAGCCCAGCUCCUUAUCCUGUCCUUACCAGCUGCACACGUGGGACCCCAGCAGUAGCUACUUCAGGGUCCACCAACAGUAGAACUGUAAGUCUGGGGGAGCCAAGCACGGUCUGUAGUGACUCAGGGACAGGGAUGACUCCCUUCACAAGACCCUCAGAUUUCCCUGUUCUGUGUUGUUGCUAUUGUUUUUCAUUACUUGGAGAACACUUCGUUAGUCUCUUAGUCAAAUCCAUGUAGUUAAAACCUUACUUAUUUAUGGGGAUGGAGAGAUAGCUCAGAGGUUAAGAGCAUAGGCUACUCUUCCAGAGGUCCUGAGUUCAAUUCCCAGCAACCACAUGGUGGCUCACAACCAUCCGUUAUGAGAUAAUGGUGCC